rnacentral:lncRNA from 1 species
GUGCAGCCCAAGUGUCCCUAAGGCUGGUGCAGGUGGUGGGUCACAUCCCCACAGUCCAACAGCCCCUCCGGAGCCUGCCGAGAAGGUCCACGCCGCGGCGGGCUCUGCUGGAGAGGCAGGUGCUGAGCUCUGCCCGUGCUCCGGGGGAGAGCAGCAUCUGCAGAAUGGAGCUGAAGAAGCCAAGGGAGAAGCUGCCUGCGAUGAGCUUCUCGGUGUCCUUCAGCCAUCCGACAACUCGCGGGUCCUGCCGGGAGCUACCGUGGAGCCUGACGCACAGCCCAGCCAGGCUUGCUCUGAUAUCUGUGCUGCGCCAGAGACCUCACCAGGGACCCAGCACCUUCCUGGGUCCGGUGAGACGGAACCGGCUGCAGACAGCCAGCACCAGCUCUGCUCCUCGCUCCCGACACCCUCCCCGGCCAGCACGGACCUGCGCUCCGCCGCUGUCCUCGCCAGGAAAGAGGAGAUUGAGCUGUCGUACCAGCAGUUCAGCCUGACCAUCGCGGUGGUGGCCACAAUGCUGCUGCAGAAGGAGCCCUCCAUGGAGGCGGCGCUGGGGCUGGCGCUGAGAGCCAACCUGCGCCAGGGCCGGAUCCAUCACCUCCAGGAGCUGGAGGAUUUCAUCGACAGCUACGACUCGGCCACCCUCAGCCGCUGAGGGGGGGGACGGGGUGCAGACGGACACCCCCUCUCACCACCCGGGGUUAGAGGGGGGUGAUGGGGGGGCUGUGCCCAUGCAGCGGGGUGCUCGUGAUGGGGCCGAGCCCUCGGGUCAAGGCGAUACGGACACGUUGGCACAGUCUCACCAUCUCUCUUGGGAAUGGAGGAGGAGGGGGCUGCUUAGUUUUAGCCCUGCCCAGACCUGUUUGUGCAGCAAAAGGGGGAGCUGGUUUUACUGGAGGGCGAUGGGAGGGACAGCGGAUGUGGGGAGCUCCCCAGUUCCUUGCUCCAUUCCUGGUUCACAGGGAUGUACCUCAAAACCCUGGGGUUUGCUCUUGGUUUUAAAUCUAAAAAUAAACCAGCUGUGAUAUAUGCACCCCUCGCUCUGCUGUUGAUCUGGUC